UAUUGCUUCGCUCAUGUCGGUCGGUCGGUCUGUCGGUCGGUCCGUCCACCAGGUUGUUGUCAGACGAUAACUCAAGAACGCUUGGGCCUAGGAUCAUGAAACUUCAUAGGUACAUUGAUCAUGACUCGCAGAUGACCCCUAUUGAUUUUGAGGUCACUAGGUCAAAGGUCAAGGUCACAGUGACCCGAAAUAGUAAAAUGGUUUUUGAAUGAUAACUCAAGAACGCAUACGCCUAGGAUCAUGAAACUUCAUGGGUAGAUUGAUCAUGACUCGCAGAUGACCCCUAUUGAUUUUGAGGUCACUAGGUCAAAGGUCAAGGUCACGGUGACCCGAAAUAGUAAAAUGGUUUUCGGAUGAUAACUCAAGAACGCAUAUGCCUAGGAUCAUGAAACUUCACAGGUAGAUUGAUCAUGACUCGCAGAUGACCCCUAUUGAUUUUGAGGUCACUAGGUCAAAGGUCAAGGUCACAGUGACAAAAAACGUAUUCACACAAUGGCUGCCACUACAACGGACAGCCCAUAUGGGGGGCAUGCAUGUUUUACAAACAGCCCUUGUUUUAUGAAUACUUUUGCAAUAUUGAAGUU